rnacentral:rRNA from 1 species
AUUGAACGCUGGCGGCAUGCUUUACACAUGCAAGUCGAACGGUAACGCGGGGGGUAACCCCUGGCGACGAGUGGCGAACGGGUGAGUAAUACAUCGGAACAUGUCCUGGAGUGGGGGAUAGCUCGGCGAAAGCCGGAUUAAUACCGCAUACGCUCUGAGGAGGAAAGCGGGGGACCUGGUAACGGGCCUCGCGCUGCGGGAGUGGCCGAUGUCGGAUUAGCUAGUAGGUAGGGUAAAGGCCUACCUAGGCGACGAUCCGUAGCUGGUCUGAGAGGAUGAUCAGCCACACUGGGACUGAGACACGGCCCAGACUCCUACGGGAGGCAGCAGUGGGGAAUUUUGGACAAUGGGGGCAACCCUGAUCCAGCCAUGCCGCGUGAGUGAAGAAGG